GAUGAACGCUAGCGGGAGGCUUAACACAUGCAAGUCGAGGGGUAAAUGGUAGCAAUACUAUGAGACCGGCGGACGGGUGCGUAACGCGUAUGCAACAUACCUUUAGCAGGGGGAUAGCCCGUGGAAACGCGGAUUAAUAUUCCAUAGUCCAGCAGUAUCGCAUGGUACCACUGGUAAAGAUUAAUCGGCUAAAGAUUGGCAUGCGUCUGAUUAGUUAGUUGGUAGGGUAACGGCCUACCAAGGCGACGAUCAGUAGGGGUUCUGAGAGGAUUACCCCCCACACUGGUACUGAGACACGGACCAGACUCCUACGGGAGGCAGCAGUGAGGAAUAUUGGUCAAUGGGCGGAAGCCUGAACCAGCCAUCCCGCGUGAAGGAAGACAGCCUUACGGGUUGUAAACUUCUUUUCUGUUUUGAAGAAUAAGCCCGUUGAGACGGGUGAUGCCGGUAGGACAGGAAUAAGCAUCGGCUAACUCCGUGCCAGCAGCCGCGGUAACUCGUCUCUA
rnacentral:rRNA from 1 species